GGCCCUAGAAAGCUCCGUUGGCA
rnacentral:tRNA from 1 species